AAAAGGGAUGAUGACUGCCUUCUGGCUGAGGCUGGGGGAUAGCCCAAGCUUCUCACUUGCUUUUGGGUCCUCUGUCAGGUGACCUUGUGGAUUCAGUCCUGUGGGUGGAUCCCCCGCUGGACAAUAGAGCUGGGCAUGUGUACAGGAAAGGAGGGAAGCAGAAUAUAAAGGAAAUGAACAACAACGUUCAAGGUCACUUCUUCAACCCCUCCCCCAAAACUCAUGUGAGUGGUCUGAAGUGUUCCGGGUCUUCAGAGUCCUGAAGCACACCACAGGGGUGCUAGAAUCUUGACCUGUCCUGCUGGGCUUUCAUCUCCACCGUCCUGGAGGCACAAGGAAGUACGGCCGACUGGUCAGGAGGACUCAACAAUUCCUAGUAGACACUGAGUGCACAAACAAUUCCUGGCAUGACCUGUCAGACACAGCCCCUCUACUGUUCUUGGUGUCAUCUUACUGGACGCUGACUGGAGCUCACUGCCUUCCAUCCAGCCUAAGAUACUAAGAGCAGACCCUGAGGACACUUCACCCUGCUCACCCUCACAGGAAAGCAGCACAUUGAGGUACUGCGGACAUUCAUCUGCAGAUGGCCUUUCACUCAGGUUUAAUAAGUACAGCCUGAGGACUGCUGGACACACAGAUGGCUUCUUCAAGCCCUCAGGAAUAUGAAGCAUACUCACAUCCUGCUGUUCGUCUCCAGAGAAAACACGGAGUCAUUUCAGGUAAUUUCCAUUUAAUUUAACAUUUAUUUUCAUUUAUAACGAGAUGUCACAUUUUCUACAUUAAAAUAUAAUCAUGCUGACCGCCCCCCCAUCCCCUCAGAGAAAAACAACUGGAAGGUGGAAUGCUCGGAGUGGGGAAGUUAUGGCUGCACCUGAGAACACACAGCACAGAGACCCAAACAGCAGACACGGCAGAGGCACACAGAAUACAGCUAAGAGCUCAAGCCAGGAAGGGACAGGAAUGAAAGAAACAUUGCUACACGUGCCACAAGAUCACCCAGAAAAGGGAGAGCUGAGUCAGAAAGCUUGAGGACUGAGCAGAGUUUAAAGCAUCCACAAACCUAAGGCAAGUCAUCUCCAUGCCCCACCUCAGGAUCUGGAGGGCAAUGCAGAGACCUAAGCCACCAUAAACACAAGAUGAGGGUGGGAUGUAGGUUUUCUUAACUGUGCCCCAGCA